AAGUCGUAACAAGGUUUCCGUAGGUGAACCUGCGGAAGGAUCAUUAUCAAUGAAUCUCUUCAUUACACCGUGCACUGGACUUUGGGCAGCAAUGCCCAUUGUAACACACAACACUAUACUUUUAUAGCAGAGUCAAUUAGGAAACUAAUAAUGACAACUUUUAGCAACGGAUCUCUAGGUUCUC
rnacentral:misc_RNA from 1 species